rnacentral:rRNA from 1 species
AUGGCGUUCCCCUGCUUGCCCUCCGUGCGGCCACCGCCGCGCGCCGUCCGAGCCCGAGCUGAGCGUCCCCGCGGCCGGCGGCCCGCGCUGACGGUCGUGGCCGCCGGAACCCGAACCAGCGGCGCCGAGGCCCGGGGGUCGCUGGUGCUGGCGCUCGUCUCGCAGGCCCUCGCCGCCUCGCAGCGCCGCGCCGUCGACCUCGUCACCGAGGCCGCCAAGUACGCCCUCCCUUCCGGCCGCUUCGAGCCACGGAACCUCGAGGAGGCCCUCAUGUCCGUUCCCGACCUGGAGACCGUCCCGUUCCGCAUCCUGAAGCGUGAGGAGGACUACGAGAUCAGACAAGUGGAGUCGUACUAUGUCGCUGAGACGACGAUGCCUGGAAGAACUGGGUUUGAUUUCAGCGGGUCGUCUCAGUCGUUCAACGUGCUGGCGUCUUACUUAUUCGGUAAGAACACGAGCUCCGAGCAAAUGGAAAUGACAACCCCUGUUUUUACUCGGAAGGAGGAAGUUCGCGGUGAAACGAUGGACAUGACCACCCCAGUUAUAACAAAGAAGUCAGCUGAUGGAAACAAGUGGAAGAUGUCUUUUGUGAUGCCAUCAAAAUAUGGUCCAGACUUGCCUCAGGCAAAAGACCCGUCUGUGACUAUCAAGGAGGUGCCCAGCAAAAUUGUAGCAGUUGCGGCCUUUCCAGGUUUGGUUACAGAUGAUGACAUAAGCCAGAGGGAAUCCAGAUUGCAGAAAGCUCUCCAGAAAGAUACACAGUAUCGGGUAAAAGAGGAUUCAGUGGUGGAAAUUGCACAGUAUAAUCCCCCUUUCACACUUCCGUUCGCAAGGCGCAAUGAAGUAGCACUAGAGGUUGAGGGGGUUGAUAGUGCCUCCUGA